rnacentral:rRNA from 1 species
AGGCCUUUGGGCUGUAAACCUCUUUUCUCAAGGAAGAAGAUCUGACGGUACUUGAGGAAUAAGCCACGGCUAAUUCCGUGCCAGCAGCCGCGGUAAUACGGGAGUGGCAAGCGUUAUCCGGAAUUAUUGGGCGUAAAGCGUCCGCAGGCGGCCGUUUAAGUCUGUUGUUAAAUCGUGGAGCUCAACUCCAUCACGGCAAUGGAAACUGUUCGGCUUGAGUAUGGUAGGGGCAGAGGGAACUUCCGGUGUAGCGGUGAAAUGCGUAGAUAUCGGGAAGAACACCAGUGGCGAAAGCGCUCUGCUGGGCCAUUACUGACGCUCAUGGACGAAAGCCAGGGGAGCGAAAGGGAUUAGAUACCCCUGUAGUC